AGAGUUUGAUACAGGCUCAGGAUGAACGCUGGCGGCGUGCCUAAUACAUGCAAGUCGAACGCGAACCUAGAUUCGUCUAGGGGAAAGUGGCGGACGGGUGAGUAACACGUAGAUGACCUGCCUCAGAGAGAGGGACAACCCGCCGAAAGGCGAGCUAAUACCUCAUAAGCUCACAGGACUUAGAACCCCGUGAGAAAAGCUCCGACGCUCUGAGAGGGGUCUGCGGGCCAUCAGCUAGUUGGCGGGGUAACAGCCCACCAAGGCAGUGACGGCUAGGGGGCCUGAGAGGGUGACCCCCCACACGGGAACUGAGAAACGGUCCCGACUCCUACGGGAGGCAGCAGUAAGGGAUAUUGCACAAUGGGCGCAAGCCUGAUGCAGCAACGCCGCGUGCCCGAUGAAGGCUUUCGGGUCGUAAAGGGCUUUUCUGACUGAAGAGGAAGGACAGUAAGUCAGGAAUAAGUGUCGGCUAACUACGUGCCAGCAGCCGCGGUAAAACGUAGGACGCAAGCGUUAUCCGGAGUUACUGGGCGUAAAGCGCGGGCAGGCGGUGCUUGAAGUCUGAUGUGAAAGCGCCCGGCUCAACCGGGCGAGGCCAUUGGAAACUCGAGCACUGGAAGGCGAGAGAGGUAGGCGGAAUUCCGGGUGGAGUGGUGAAAUGCGUAUAGAUCCGGGAGGAACACCAGAGGCGAAAGCGGCC
rnacentral:rRNA from 1 species